UGGGAAAGAAGGCCCUUAGGGUUUGUAAAAGCACUCUUCAGCGAGGAAGGAACGCCCUGGCGAUUAAUACCCGCCAGGAAAAGACAUCCCUUGCAGAAGAAGCCCCCGGCUAACUCCGUGCCAGCAGCCGCGGUUAUACGGAGGGGGCAAGCGUUUAUCGGAAUUACUGGGCGUAAAGCGCGCGUAGGUGGCUUGAUAAGCCGGUUGUGAAAGCCCCGGGCUCAACCUGGGAACGGCAUCCGGAACUGUCAAGCUAGAGUACAGGAGAGGAAGGUAGAAUUCCCGGUGUAGCGGUGAAAUGCGUAGAGAUCGGGAGGAAUACCAGUGGCGAAGGCGGCCUUCUGGACUGAUACUGACACUGAGGUGCGAAAGCGUGGGUAGCAAACAGGAUUAGAUACCCUGGUAGUCCACGCCGUAAACGAUGUCGACCAGCCGUUGGGUGCCUAGCGCACUUUGUGGCGAAGUUAACGCGAUAAGUCGACCGCCUGGGGAGUACGGCCGCAAGGUUAAAACUCAAAUGAAUUGACGGGGGCCCGCACAAGCGGUGGAGCAUGUGGUUUAAUUCGAUGCAACGCGAAGAACCUUACCUACCCUUGACAUCUACAGAACCUGGAAGAGAUUCCGGGGUGCCUUCGGGAACUGUAAGACAGGUGCUGCAUGGCUGUCGUCAGCUCGUGUUGUGAAAUGUUGGGUUAAGUCCCGUAACGAGCGCAACCCUUGUCCUUAUUUGCCAGCACGUAAUGGUGGGAACUCUAAGGAGACUGCCGGUGACAAACCGGAGGAAGGUGGGGACGACGUCAAGUCAUCAUGGCCCUUACGGGUAGGGCUACACACGUGCUACAAUGGCCGGUACAAAGGGUUGCGAACUCGCGAGAGUAAGCCAAUCCCAGAAAGCCGGUCUCAGUCCGGAUCGGAGUCUGCAACUCGAUUCCGUGAAGUCGGAAUCGCUAGUAAUCGUGAAUCAGAAUGUCACGGUGAAUACGUUCCCGGGCCUUGUACACUUCGCCCCUCACUCCAUGGGAUUGAGUUUGACCAUACUCAGGAUAAUUCGUCACAAGGACCGACUAGA
rnacentral:rRNA from 1 species